UGAGCCACUGCACCUGGCCGGGCUGAUGGUUUUUAAGAAGUAGGUGAGGCUUCUUCAUUCUCUCUUAUACCAUUUACUUCAGAGGACUCUGCGGCCCUAGAAAGCAGUUGAUUUAGAAGAAGGAAAGACCCUGCCCUGCAGAAUCAUUAUGGAAGCUACUGAGUGACAAGGCAUCCCUGCAUUGGUCCUUUAUAUGACAAGGUUCUGAAAAAAGAGGACAGCACCUUCUAUGAAGAGCACGGAGACCCUAACGAGAUGCAGCCACCUCUGGUGAUACGUUAUGAAUCUUCAUGAAUAUUCCAGCCCUUGGUUAAAGAACCCCAUAAAGGUAGAAG